rnacentral:rRNA from 1 species
AUCGAACGCUGGCGGCGGGCCUAAUACAUGCAAGUCGAACGAGUGGCGGACGGGUGAGCAAUGUCUGGGCACCUGCCUGAUGGAGGGGUGUGACUGCUGGAAACGGUAGCUACUACCGCAUACCAUCAGAUGUGCCCAGAGGGGAGUAGCUUGUUGGUGGGGUAACGGCUCACCAAGGCGACGAUUCCUAGCUGGUCUGAGAGGAUGACCAGCCACACUGGAACUGAGACACGGUCCAGACUCCUACGGGAGGCAGCAGUGGGGAAUAUUGCACAAUGGGCGCAAGCCUGAUGCAGCCAUGCCGCGUGUAUGAAGAAGGCCUUCGGGUUGUAAAGUACUUUCAGCAGGGAAGCGUUACCCGCAGAAGAAGCCCCGGCUAACUCCGUGCCAGCAGCCGCGGUAAUAC